rnacentral:tRNA from 1 species
GCCGCCGUAGCUCAGCCGGUAGAGCAGCUGAUUCGUAAUCAGCAGGUCGGGGGUUCAAAUCCCUCCAGCGGCU